CCGGCAUAAACUUAAAAAUUAUCAGAACUGAUGUUUGUUUAAUUUAACUACUACAUAUUACAAUAAAUAGAGGGAAGAUUUUGUCUGUGUCAGCCUCUAUAUUCUUUUUCUACUCUGUAAAUUGAACAUUCGCGAAUGAUAUAAAGAACAAGCAACUAUUUUCUCUAAUGCAGAAUACGAAGCAAAUUACCUACGGAAGAUAUCUCCACUGUUCAUGUUAGAUCUGUUAUGGUCUUCAAGUCCAGGCUCCAUUAGAUCAAUGAACUUCAUAUACCGAUUACGUUUCUUUGUGAACUUUUUCAUUGCUUUAUCAUGCAUUCUAUUCCACUUCUCUAUCUGGCUUACGAUUUUUUGCAAGUCUCUCUUCUUUUCUUCAAUUUUCUUCUUGAUUUCUAAACUCACUGGAGAACAAUCCAUCGCAUCAUCCAGCAUUUCAACGGGAAAACAGAUUUCAGGAUUCCCACAUCCAAGAGAAAUAAUUCCGUUCUCUCUCAAAAUUCCACCAUCAAGAGAGACAGCACCACGCUCAAUAGAAGCACGAGCCCUUACCAUAUGCUCCCUGGUUUCAUAAACUUGAAGCUCACCAAAAAGGCGAUAGAAUAAGGUCUCUCGAAGACCAUUGCCAGAUCUUGUCCUAACACAAGAAUGAUAGAUAUCUAAGUUAAUCAUAUUAACUGCAUAGCCAAUGAAACCUGAUGCUGUAUUCCCAUUACGCAAGAGAGGAUCUGGCAAGACUAGCUUCCUUUGAGGGUCACUCUCAUCGACCUCUCCUUUGUAUGCCCUUAUAUCCUCAAGGCAAAUAACGAGAAAUCGGCCAGAUAUUGAUUUUCCAAGAGAAGCUGCUUCUGCAUGAAAAGCAACAUUGCUAUCAACUUCCCCAUUUUCCUUGUACUUCUCAAGUGAGCUGGCAGCUUCAUAGGAACCACAAACUAUAGCAAGCAUUUGAUCUUCACCUAAGUACUCCGCCAAUAUCCUGCUUAGUUUACUGCUACAAACCGUUCCAAGUAAUGCAACCAGGCCAAAUAUAUCUUGCAUGAAAAGCUUCUGGGUUUCUUGGAAUGAAAAAUUUCUAGAAAGAUGGCAGAGAGUGGCGGCUGCAGAAUGGCUCUUGCUCUUAAUCUGCUCUGUAAUUUCCUCUUUUGCGGACAGAUAGUUCACAUUAUUAAACAACUGAAGUUCUGUGGAAGCUUCAAGCUCAGAUAACCCUUGCUCAUGAUCUGCCUUCAAUUCAUUAAGCUCUUUUAGUUGAUUUUCACAAAAUCCAAUUCGCUCACCAUAUUUGAAAAUUUCUUCCUCUAGUCCCUUUUCAAGAUUCACAAUUGACUGCAUUAGAUUUCCUGCAUUAUCAAAUGAUGCUGUGUUUCCUACAUUCUUCUGCAAUGAUGAAUCCUGUAGCAAUAAUAACUUUCCGUGUGAACAUGGAGAUUGAACCUCAUCAUACUCCACAUUUCGAGCUUCUAAGACAGACACAUUGAAACUUAGACGUAGCUCUGGGUAAAAGGUGUGAGCAACAUCGAGGCAAUAGUUUCCUUCAAUUGCAGGAAGGGGAACAACAGGGACAGUGCAACGCCCAUGCCUAAAAGCAUAGCAAACACAAUCCUCUGAUUUAAAUGAAUCUGACUUUAUUNNNGAGAUUGGCUGCACUUAUCUUGAUCAUGAAUAGUUUUAUCAACAUCACCCUCAGAAUUGACUACUUCAAAAACUAGAUUUUCCAGCAGAGAACCAGCAGUUAAAUAUUCCGGUACCUUUGAAGCAAUUCUCAGCUCCCUCUUGCCAAUUUGAAACUCUUGCUUGAAAACUACUUUGUUGAAAGAUGAAACAGAAAUUGACACAGUUUUCCCAAACCCAGCUGUUACUUUCAGGAUACCACUAAGGUCGAUAAAUCCAUUGACAUCCACCUUACGAAAUGGACCUGUUUGAUCAAGGAUAUCAAAUCC
rnacentral:misc_RNA from 1 species